rnacentral:sRNA from 2 species
CGCCCGUCACACCAUGGGAGCUGGUAAUACCCAAAGUCGGUUUGCUAACCUCGGAGGCGACUGCCUAAGGUAGGACUGGUGACUGGGGUGAAGUCGUAACAAGGUAUCCCUACGAGAACGUGGGGAUGGAUCACCUCCUUUCUACGGAGUACAAUUCUCACUGUUAUGGAAUUAAAUUUGUAUCCAGUUUUGAGAGAACUUUCUCUCAAUUUUGUUCUUUGAAAACUGAAUAUAGACAUUGAAAUCAAUAAAUUAAUAUUUCAAAUGUUUAGAUCAACCUAUAGAAUAUUCAAGACAUAUACAAAAAUAGGUCAUACUUAUAUUUAUAAAUACUAUUAAACAAGAUAAGAGUUUUUGGUGGAUGCCUUGGGUCUGGAAGUCGAUGAAGGACGUGAUUACCUGCGAUAAGCCUCGUUUAGUUGGAAAUAAACUGUGAGACGGGGAUGUCCGAAUGGGGAAACCCGAUUGAGCUAAUCCUCAAUCAUCAUAUCGAUGAAUUCAUAGUCGAAUGAAGAGAUACGUUGUGAAUUGAAACAUCUCAGUAGCAACAGGAAGAGAAAAUAAAGAAUGAUUCCCUCAGUAGUGGCGAGCGAACGGGGAAGAGCCCAAACCAACAUUCGUUGUUGGGGUUAUAGGACCAUCUAUGUAAAGUUAGAAAUUAUGCAUAUAGCAGAAUAAGUUGGAAUGCUUAAACACAGAGGGUGAAAUUCCCGUAAGCGAAAUGUGCAUAACUUUUGAUGGUAUCCUGAGUAGGGCGGGGCACGUGAAACCCUGUCUGAAUUUGCCGAGACCACUCGGUAAGGCUAAAUACUAACCAGACACCGAUAGUGAACUA